CAUUCAUGAUGUGGUCUGACACUCUCAGCAGCGAGUGGACCCACAUGCACUUCAUUUGGACCUGGAGAAUGAAGCGGGAUCCCAGAAAGCACUUUUUCUCAUCAGAAAUCUCUAUCUGUAUGUGUAAUUUCAGAUACUUUCUGCUUUAUUUUUUUCCAGAGUCACGAGAACUGAGUUUGUUUCAGUGGCCGAGCCUGCAAGGAGAAGGCAAAAACCUGGACACCUUCACAGGUUUUGUGAGAUUCACCCACCACAUAUAUCACCUUCUGCUUGCGUUAUCAUGUAAGUUAAUAUUAUACUUGUAAUACAUUUUAUUUAUACUCUGUAAAAUUAGUUGGGUUAAAAUAACUCAACAUAUAAUCCAAUUAUAGGUUAUUAUAGCACCUACCCAACUAUGGGUUAUUUAACCCAAUGCAUUGGGUUAUAUAAUUUAACUUAAUGCAUUGGGUUAUUUUGAUUAAAUGUAAUUUUUUAAAUUACAUGUUAUUUAAAUGUUA
rnacentral:lncRNA from 1 species